rnacentral:rRNA from 1 species
AUUGAACGCUGGCGGCAGGCCUAACACAUGCAAGUCGAGCGGUAGCACAGAGAGCUUGCUCUCCGGCGAGCGGCGGACGGGUGAGUAAUGUCUGGGAAACUGCCCGAUGGAGGGGGAUAACUACUGGAAACGGUAGCUAAUACCGCAUAACGUCUACGGACCAAAGUGGGGGACCUUCGGGCCUCACACCAUCGGAUGUGCCCAGAUGGGAUUAGCUGGUAGGUGGGGUAAUGGCUCACCUAGGCGACGAUCCCUAGCUGGUCUGAGAGGAUGACCAGCCACACUGGAACUGAGACACGGUCCAGACUCCUACGGGAGGCAGCAGUGGGGAAUAUUGCACAAUGGGCGCAAGCCUGAUGCAGCCAUGCCGCGUGUAUGAAGAAGGCCUUCGGGUUGUAAAGUACUUUCAGCGGGGAGGAAGGGAGUGAGGUUAAUAACCUCAUUCAUUGACGUUACCCGCAGAAGAAGCACCGGCUAACUCCGUGCCAGCCGCCGCCGUAAAAC